GUCGAGGAUCUUUGGCAAUGAGCGCAAGCUUGACCAAGCGACGCCGCGUGUGCGAUGAAGGCCUUCGGGUUGUAAAGCACUGUCGAGGGGGAGGAAGCCGCAAGGUUGACCUAUCCCUGGAGGAAGCACGGGCUAAGUUCGUGCCAGCAGCCGCGGUAAGACGAACCGUGCGAACGUUGUUCGGAAUCACUGGGCUUAAAGGGCGCGUAGGCGGGUUCACAAGUCUGUGGUGAAAUCCUCCAGCUUAACUGGAGAAGUGCCAUGGAUACUGUGGGUCUUGAGGAGGGUAGGGGCAUCUGGAACUGCCGGUGGAGCGGUGAAAUGCGUUGAUAUCGGCAGGAACUCCGGUGGCGAAGGCGAGAUGCUGGAUCCUUUCUGACGCUGAGGCGCGAAAGCCAGGGGAGCAAACGGGAUUAGAAACCCCAGUAGUCC
rnacentral:rRNA from 1 species